CCAUGUCCGCGUGCAUGAUGAAGGCCCUCGGGUUGUAAACUGCUUUUGUACAGAACGAAAAAGCUCUGGUUAAUACCUGGAGUCCAUGACGGUACUGUAAGAAUAAGCACCGGCUAACUACGUGCCAGCAGCCGCGGUAAUACGUAGGGUGCAAGCGUUAAUCGGAAUUACUGGGCGUAAAGCGUGCGCAGGCGGUGAUGUAAGACAGUUGUGAAAUCCCCGGGCUCAACCUGGGAACUGCAUCUGUGACUGCAUCGCUGGAGUGCGGCAAAGGGGGAUGGAAUUCCGCGUGUAGCAGUGAAAUGCGUAAAUAUGCGGAGGAACACCGAUGGCGAAGGCAAUCCCCUGGGCCUGCACUGACGCUCAUGCACGAAAGCGUGGGGAGCAAACAGGAUUAAAUACCCUGGUAGUCCACGCCCUAAACGAUGUCAACUGGUUGUUGGGUUUUUAUUAACUCAGUAACGAAGCUAACGCGUGAAGUUGACCGCCUGGGGAGUACGGCCGCAAGGUUGAAACUCAAAUGAAUUGACGGA
rnacentral:rRNA from 1 species